rnacentral:misc_RNA from 1 species
GGAAGUAAAAAGUCGUAACAAGGUCUCCGUUGGUGAACCAGCGGAGGGAUCAUUACAGAGUUGCAAAACUCCCAAACCAUUGUGAACGUUACCUAUCCCGUUGCUUCGGCGGGCGGCCCGGGCCCCGCGCCCGGCGCCCCCCGGCCCCCCGUGGGCGCCCGCCGGAGGUAAACCAAACCCUUGAAUUGCAUGGCCUCUCUGAGUCUUCUGUACUGAAUAAGUCAAAACUUUCAACAACGGAUCUCUUGGUUCUG